AGACUGCUCGGGGUUAGGCUGGGCAUCGGUCAGCAAGUGGAAAUCUAUAAAAGCAGAGAUGAGUUUGAGCUUGCAGCCUCUGCCUGGGAAGUUAAUUUUGCCUACAUAUACUGAGGCAGGAAGAAGGAGACGGAGGCAUGAGAAGGGGCAAGAAAGACAGACACACAGUCUGCUGGAACAAUAUUAAUCGGUUGGAGACUCUCAUCUGAGAAAGAACAUUAUAGAUUCUGGACCGCUUAUACUGUAAAAUAGAUCUAGCUGUUUAGCUAAUUGGUUAUUAGUACAACCAGCACCAUGAAGACAACUAAAAUGAUGAUGAGACUGUAGAACCAGACAUUAACAAGUAAAAUCAAAGUUUGACUCCUACUGCCUUUGCUGUCCAUUUAAGGUUGAGUGCAUUGAAUUCUGGUGAAUGUUUGAAGAUCAAGGGCUUGAAUUGUUCCUCUGCCAGGCUGGAUAUCAGGAAAAGGCUUUUCUCCAAGAAGGUGGUCAGGUACUGGAACAGAUUCCCCAGGGAAGUUGUCGCUGCAGCAAGCCUGCCAAAGUUCAAGAAGUGUUUGGACAAUGCUCUCUGAUACAGGGUCUGAUUUUUUUUUUUUUUUUUUUUUGGGGGGGGGUCCUUUGGGGACCCAAGAGUUAGACUCAGUGAUUCUUGUGAGUCCCAACCAACUCACAAGUCUAUUAUUCUAUGAUUCAAUAUAUAUAUAUACAGAGAAAAUUUAUAAAUAUGUAUGUAUACAUUUUUCUGUUCUCGUGUACCUCCAAAACAGUACCUGUAGCAACACCUCCAAAGUUUUCCUAAGUCACUGAGGCAAAACCCUGCACCAGAAAUCUGUCAGAAAUGAGCUAAGAGAUUUGUGCCAAUACACAGAGCAUGGGUCAGAUUUCUACGAGCUGAUGAGUACCCACUGCCAAAAACUGUGUGCCCUUGAGUUGGAGAAGAUCCAGAGUAAUUCAAUUGAUUUAAUUGUGUUACUUCAAAUUCACCAUAGAUCUGACCUCAUCUCUGUGGCCACAGUAUGGAAAUACAUCAUCAGACUUUCUGGGGUAAAGAUUGUUCCAUCCUCUUACCUGCCGUCAGUUUCCUAUACUGUCUUGAUUAGUUUGCAGAUACUUGUUUUUGCACAUGCAGCUUUUCUAAUUAAGAGCAAGAUUGUGGCUAAAUGCAGUAAAGUAUAUACUGCUUAAAACAUAUGGUUAUUUCUGUUGCCUAAGGGCAAUACUUGAUAUGGCUGAUAGCACUGAUAUCAUGAACAGAUAUUAUUACCACUAUAUUUAGAUGAUGGAUUUUUAAAAUGUUCAAGGUGAAUUCAGUGUUAUUUAAAAUGAAAUAUUUUUUUCUUAAUACAACUGCAGUUAUUGCAUGUAGCUAAUACAUAUAAGUUUUGCCUUUUGCCUAGAACAUCAUUUUAUUAGAGAAACUACAUUUGUUAUGAUAGGUAGUUGCACUGGCAUGUCUUAAUCACCUAUGCCUCUGCUUCCCAUUCCUGUGAUUCUUGUUAAAAUCUCUCUACAAGAACUCACUGGAAGUAAUGUUAGCUAAUGGUGAGUUAAACUGACCAAAAGCUGGAGUACCUCUAAAAGAUCUUCAGUGCUGUUCAUUCUUUAUGCCAAUAGACUCUGUCACUAUUCCAUUUCCCUUUUAAGGUCUCUAGACUAUUAAAUUUGCUAAAGAAAAUAUUAUAACCUCACCUUCUUUCUUCUAUUCUCUCAAAGAUUUCUCAAAUUUACAGAUAAAAUCUCUGGGACUUAGUUGAUUUAAUAAUAAUAAUAAUAAUAAUAAUAAUAAUAAUAAUAAUAAUAAAAUAAUAAACAGUU